GACAGAGGGUGCAAACGUUGCUCGGAAUCACUGGGCGUAAAGGGCGUGUAGGCGGGAAGGAUAGUCAGAUGUGAAAUCCCUGGGCUCAACCCAGGAACUGCAUUUGAAACUCCCUUUCUUGAGUGUCGGAGAGGAAAGCGGAAUUCCUGGUGUAGAGGUGAAAUUCGUAGAUAUCAGGAGGAACACCGGUGGCGAAGGCGGGUUGCUGGGCUGACACUGACGCUGAGGCGCGAAAGCUAGGGGAGCGAACGGG
rnacentral:rRNA from 1 species